GACGAUCUCUGGCGGCGUGCUUUACACAUGCAAGUCGAACGGAAAGGCUCCUUGCUUGCAAGGGGUACUCGAGUGGCAAACGGGUGAGUAACACGUGUGUGAUCUGCCUUGCACUUCAGGAUAAGCCUGGGAAACUGGGUCUAAUACCGGAUAGGACCAUGCUUUAGUGUGUGUGGUGGAAAGUUUUUUCGGUGCAAGAUGAGCCCGCACCCUAUCAGCUUGUUGGUGGGGUAAUGGCCUACCAAGGCGACGACGGGUAUCCGGCCUGAGAGGGUGUACGGCCACAUUGGGACUGAUACACGGCCCAGACUCCUACGGGAGGCAGACGUGGGGAAUAUUGCACAAUGGGCGCAAGCCUGAUGCAACGACGCCGCGUGGGGGAUGACAGCCUUCGGGUUGUAAACUCCUUUCGCUAGGGAAGAAGCCACUGUGUGGUGACGGUACCAGGAUAAGAAGCACCGGCUAACUACGUGCCACCAGCCGCGGUAAUACCUAGGGUGCGAGCGUUGUCCGGAAUUACUGGGCGUAAAGAGCUCGUAGGUGGUUUGUCGCGUCUUCUGUGAAAUCCCGGGGCUUAACUUCCGGCGUGCAGGCUAUACGGGCAUAACUAGAGUGCCUGUAUGGGAGGCUGGAAUUCCCUGGUGUAGCGGUGAAAUGCGCAUAUAUCAGGAGGAACACCGAUGGCGAAGGCAGGUCUCUGGGCAGUUACUGACGCUGAGGAGCGAAAGCAUGGGUAGCGAACAGGAUUAGAUACCCUGGUAGUCCAUGCCGAAAACGGUGGGCGCUAGGUGUGGGGGUUUUAUUUACGAUUCCCGUGCCGAAGCUAACGCAUUAACCGCCCCGCCUGGGGAGUACGGCCGCAAGGCUAAAACUCAAAGGAAUUGACGGGGGCCCGCACAAGCGGCGGAGCAUGUGGAUUAAUUCGAUGCAACACGAAUAACCUUACCUGGGCUUGACAUACACCGGAUCGCUACAUAUAUGUAUUUUCCCUUGUGGCUGGUGUACAGGUGGUGCAUGGUUGUCUUCAGCUCCUGUCGGGAGAGGUUGGGUUAAGUCCCGCAACGAGCGCAACCCUUGUCUUGUGCUGUCAGCACGGGAUGCUGGGGACUCGCGAGAGAGCUGCCCGGGAUAAAUCGGAGGAAGGUGCGAAUUACCUCGCCUCUUUUGGCCCCUUAUUUCCACGGCUUCACACGUGCUACAAAGGUCCGAACAGGCGGUUGGGAUACCGUGAACGCGAAAAAAUCCCCUUCGAUCCGGUCUCGUUUCGGCAUUUCUCUCUGCUACCCACCUCCUUAAGUCGGCAUCGACUCUAAUCCCAUAUGGGCAACCUUCCGGGGAAUCAUUCCCCGCCCU
rnacentral:rRNA from 1 species